ACUUCUUUCCCCUCGAUCCACAAUGCUAUUCACCUAGGGAAGAUUUCUGUUGUCAGCUGAGGGUGGGUAGGUGGCUCGACUUUCUAAUUCAUUUUCUUAUUAAAGAAAUUGUUUUAAAAUUCAGGGCAAUCAGGCUGAGAGAGUAUUGGGUCAAGUUCCAGUUCCUAGUUCCAGCGUUGAAGUUAAUCGUCCAAACUUACCCAUUCUCGAAUGUGAAUACUGUUGCAAGACCUUCAUGUCAGCCUCUAGCUUGAGUAGCCACCGCGUAAGCCAUUAUAGGAGGCCGAAAGGUCAUGAUCAUUCUAAACAAAAGAAUAUAUGUUAUUGCCAGCCCCCUUCCACUCAUUUAGCUACAUGCAAGAAUGGAAGAAAGUAAGCUGUUUCCUCCGGCUCCAUCUUUCCUAUGUCACGUGUACUGUAGUCAUGUCGUUGUCAGUCAUUGUCAUUUCCAUGUCACGUGUACUGUUAUCUUUCCUGUGUCAUGAGUAGUACAUCAGCCAAUAUUUGCCGACUUAGAGUUCAUAACAGUGCCCCAUCUUGUCAGCCUCAGUCAGUCGACACUCGUCAGCCGCUAGCUACAUUGCCUUCCCCGGCCACUUAAGCAGUCAAGAACUACCGCAAGCUGAUAUCUUCCCGGCACCGGCGUCAGCGAGAUAAUACCACUGCCAUGGAACCCAGCCCAAAA